rnacentral:rRNA from 1 species
AUGUUGUACUUAAGAAGAAACCUAAUGAUUAACCAAAACAAUGUCUUAUUAUUAACUGGAAAUAGCAAUAAACUUGGAUGUCAUAUAAAGUUCUUAAAUAUCAAGAAACCACACAUAUUGUCGGAAUGUGCAAGCCGUUUAUCUGGAUUAUGUAUCAUUCUGAGUAAUCGUAUAUAUGUAGCGCCGUAUCCAUGUGUUAAUCUGUUUGAUUUUAUAGAUAUAUACAUAUUAAAAGGAAAAAAAUAUCUGGAUUUCAACUUAGUUUUGACAUGUUUAACUUGCAUCAAUUUAAAAAUUGUAGUUAGCCGUGUCUGCGCUUAUGUUGAUGUGACUUUUCUGAUCAGUUCAGGUGUCGAGAGUUGCAAAAUUGGAAUUAACCUUCUCUGA